AUGGCGCCCGUCUCCUUCCUCGGGCUUACUUUCGCCUUGCUCUGCUUCGUCGUCUUCUACUACUUCCACAUCAGGUCCAAGCGCAAGAACCCAGCUCUCCCGCUGGACUGGCCGCUCGUGGGCAUGCUCCCAGCGCUCCUCGGCAACCUACCGCGCCUCCACGCUCCCAGCGCUCCUCGGCAACCUACCGCGCCUCCACGACUGGGUCACCUCCGUCCUCGUCGCCAGCCCGCUCAGCUUCCGCCUCGCCGGCCCGCCGCGCUCGGGAAUGCAGCUCUUCAUCACCGCCGAUCCGGCCAACGUUCGCCACGUCUUCACCUCCAACUUCCCCAACUACCCCAAGGGCCCCGAGUUCGCCCAUAUCAUGGACAUUUUCGGCGGUGGUAUCUUCAACGCCGACGGCGACUCCUGGCGCCGUCAGCGUGCCAAGGCGCAGCUGCUUAUGUCCGGGCCUCGGUUCCGAGCCUUCGUAUCCAGCUGCAGCCGCCGCAAGGUCGAAUGCGACCUGCUCCCGCUGCUAGCCCGCAUCGCCGGCUCACGUUCGACACCACGACCACGCCGGUCUUAGGAGUUGACCCUGGCUGCCUGGCCGUCGGCUUCCCGGAGGUGCCGUUCGUGCGCGCCAUAGAUGACGCCAUGGAUUUUCUCCUCGUCCGCAACUUGCUCCCGCUGUCGUGGUGGAAGCUGGUGCGGCGGCUCGGGCUCGGGUACGAGCGGAAGAUGGCGGUGGCGUGGCGCGACAUCGACCGGUUCAUCGGCGACACGAUCGCCAAGCGGCGGGAGGCGGUGAAGGCCACGGGUGGGAUCGAGGACUCGGCGGACCUGCUCUCUUCCUACAUCGACGACGACGAUGGCGACGCCGGCAGCGGCACGGUUGUCGACGUAUUCCUCCGCGACACGACCAUGAACCUUAUGAUCGCCGGCCGGGACACGACCGGGUCGGCGCUGACCUGGUUCUUCUACCUCCUCACCAGGAACCCGGGCGUGGUGUCCAAGAUCCUCGCAGAGCUCGACACCAUCAAGACCACCACCACCACCACCCUGGACGGCAUGGUGACCUUCGACCCGGACGAGCUCGGCCGGCUGGUGUACCUGCACGCGGCCCUGUGCGAGUCGCUCCGGCUGUACCCGCCGGUGCCGUUUGAGCACAAGGGCGUGGUGGCCGCCGAGGCGCUGCCGAGCGGGCACGAGGUGCGGCCAGGGGACAAGAUCCUUGUGUCGCUGUACGCGAUGGGGAGGAUGGAGGCCGUCUGGGGCAUGGACUGCCGGGAGUUCCGGCCGGAGCGGUGGAUCGGGGAGGACGGCAAGCCGCGGUACGUGCCGUCGUACAAGUUCGCCUCCUUCAACGCCGGGCCGCGGACCUGCCUGGGCAAGGACAUGGCCUUCGUGCAGCUCAAGGCCGUGGCGGCCGCCGUGGUGAGAAACUUCGAGGUGGAGGCCGUGCCGGGGCACGUCGUCCAGCCCAAGAUCUCCAUUGUUCUCCACAUGAAGAACGGCUUCACGGCCAGGAUCAAGAGGAGGCAGGUGAUGAACAGCUGA
rnacentral:rRNA from 1 species